rnacentral:rRNA from 1 species
UACGUAGGGUGCGAGCGUUGUCCGGAAUUAUUGGGCGUAAAGGGCUCGUAGGCGGUCUGUCACGUCGGGAGUGAAAACUCGGGGCUUAACUCCGAGCCUGCUUCUGAUACGGGCAGACUAGAGUGCGGUAGGGGGAGACUGGAAUUCCUGGUGUAGCGGUGAAAUGCGCAGAUAUCAGGAGGAACACCGGUGGCGAAGGCGGGGUCUCUGGGCCGUAACUGACGCUGAGGAGCGAAAGCGUGGGGAGCGAACAGG